AACACACUAACGGAAGCAGAAUGGGAAACCAUCUGCUACCUUACACACCACUGUUCCACUCACAGCAAAACACAGGAAACGGCCUACAAGCUUCUAACACAUUGGUAUAGGACACCACAUCUCCUUCAUCACGUAAACCCAGACCACUCCAGACUCUGCUGGAGAUGUGAACGAGAGGUGGGCACCACAAAACACAUCUGGUGGGAUUGCGCGUUGAUCCAACCAUACUGGAAGAGGAUACACAAAAUGCUAGAGAAGUUCGCGGAC